rnacentral:piRNA from 1 species
UGGGUUAAAGGCGUGCACCACCACAGCCC